GGCUUUAUAGUGUAGUGGUUAUCACUCGGGAUUCUGAUGAUAAUCCAUCUGAUUUCCCGCGACCCAGGUUCGAUCCCUGGUAAGGCCU